rnacentral:rRNA from 1 species
GCUCCCUCCGCCGCCACUCAGACUCCUACCGGAGGGCGAGCAGUGGGGAAGUAUUGGACAAUGGCGGCAAGCCUGAUCCAGCAAUGCCGCGUGUGUGAAGAAGGCUCGGGUUGUAAGCACUUUUAUCAGGAACGAAUACCACGGGUCAAUACCCUAUGGGGCUGACGGUACCUGAGGAAUAAGCACCGGCUAACUUCGUGCCAGCAGCCGCGGUAAUUC